rnacentral:rRNA from 1 species
AUUGAACGCUGGCGGCAGGCCUAACACAUGCAAGUCGAACGAGUGGCGGACGGGUGAUUAAUGUCUGGGCAACUGCCUGAUGGAGGGGGCUAACGAGUGGAAACGGUAGCUAAUACCGCAUACGAUCGGAUGUGGUCAGAUGGGAUUAGCGAGUAGGUGGGGUAAAGGCUCACCUAGGCGACGAUGCCUAGCAGGUCUGAGAGGAUGACCAGCCACACUGGAACUGAGACACGGUCCAGACUCCUACGGGAGGCAGCAGUGGGGAAUAUUGCACAAUGGGCGCAAGCCUGAUGCAGCCAUGCCGCGUGUAUGAAGAAGGCCUUCGGGUUGUAAAGUACUUUCAGCGGGGAGGCGUUACCCGCAGAAGAAGCACCGGCUAACUCCGUGCCAGCAGCCGCGGUAAUAC